rnacentral:rRNA from 1 species
UACGUAGGGGGCAAGCGUUGUCCGGAAUCAUUGGGCGUAAAGCGCGCGUAGGCGGCCCGGUACGUCCGCUCUGAAAGUCCAAGGCUCAACCUUGGAAUGCGGGUGGAUACUGCCGGGCUAGAGUCCGGAAGAGGCGAGUGGAAUUCCUGGUGUAGCGGUGGAAUGCGCAGAUAUCAGGAGGAACACCAAUAGCGAAGGCAGCUCGCUGGGACGGUACUGACGCUAAGGCGCGAAAGCGUGGGGAGCGAACAGG